UUGUAUUUUGUUUUGUUUUUUUAGGAACUUCAGCCAAAGUUAAUGUUGACGUUGAGGUAUUAAAAAAGAGAGCAGAACGUUUUGGCAUGAAUGUCUCUUCAGUUUCUAAAAAGAUUGAGGAUGAUGAAAAGCUUAAGAAGAGAAAGGAGAGAUUUGGCAAUGUCACAAGUGCAGCGUCUUCUGGAGCCAAUGAUACAGAGAUUCAAGACACCCUCUGCCAGAUGCAGCAAAGCAGCCCCUGAACAUAACAGAGCUUCCUCCAUGUUUCACAGCAAAGAAGCGAAAACGUGCGGAGCGGUUUGGAAAUGUAUAAAAAUGGUUCUUACCCUUGUAUUUUUAUUCAUUUUUUUUAAGUGUUCUUUGCGGUUCAUUUUGAUAAGCUUGUAAUCCCUGUAGUGCCAUGGUUGUUUAUCUGCUAUUUACAUUAAAAGUACCCCAGUUCCUUACUA